AACGAACGCUGGCGGCAUGCCUAACACAUGCAAGUCGAACGCUAUUUAUAGAGUGGCGCACGGGUGAGUAACGCGUGGGAACCUGCCUUUUUCUGCGGGAUAACGGUUGGAAACGACCGCUAAUACCGCAUACGCCCUACGGGGGAAAGGUCCGCCGGAAAAAGAGGGGCCCGCGUCUGAUUAGCUUGUUGGUAGGGUAAUGGCCUACCAAGGCGACGAUCAGUAGCUGGUCUGAGAGGAUGAUCAGCCACACUGGGACUGUGACACGGCCCAGACUCCUACGGGAGGCAGCAGUGGGGAAUAUUGGACAAUGGGGGCAACCCUGAUCCAGCAAUGCCGCGUGUGUGAUGAAGGCCUUAGGGUUGUAAAGCACUUUCACUGGUGAAGAUGAUGACGGUAACCAGAGAAGAAGCCCCGGCUAACUUCGUGCCAGCAGCCGCGGCAAUACGAAGGGGGCGAGCGUUGUUCGGAAUUACUGGGCGCAAAGGGCGCGUAGGCGGUCUUUUAAGUUAGGCGUGCAAGCCCCGGGCUCAACCCGGGAACUGCGCUUAAGACUGGAAGACUAGAAAACGGAAGAGGGUAGUGGAAUUCCCAGUGUAGAGGUGAAAUUCAUA
rnacentral:rRNA from 1 species